GCGGUUAGCCUCAUGGUGGGGACUUAGUCUUCCAAACUAAUGGAGAGGGUUCGAUUCCCUCUAGCCGCUCCA
rnacentral:tRNA from 1 species